rnacentral:rRNA from 1 species
ACGCUCGACACCUACGGGAGGUAGCAGUGGGGAAUAUUGCACAAUGGGGGAAACCCUGAUGCAGCGACGCCGCGUGGAGGAAGAAGGUCUUCGGAUUGUAAACUCCUGUUGUUGGGGAAAAAGAGGAUGGUACCCAACAAGGAAGUGACGGCUAACUACGUGCCAGCAACCGCGGUAAUCUGAGCGGGCUGGCAAGGC